rnacentral:tRNA from 2 species
AGGGGAGUGGCUCAAUGGUAGAGUAGCGGUCUCCAAAACCGUAGGUUGCGUGUUCGAAUCGCGUCUCCCCUGCCA